rnacentral:misc_RNA from 1 species
UUUCCGUAGGUGAACCUGCGGAAGGAUCAUUCGCAAUAAGUGUUUUAUGGCACUUUUUAAACAAUCCAUAUCCACCUUAUGAUCAACAUUAUGCGACUCUCUAUCGUUAUCUUUUAGGAUACGGAAGGGGGAACCUCUACUACUCACCAACAUCACCUUUAACUUAUUUAUCUGAACACUUGUUAUCACGAAUUAACUUAAUUAGAAAAUACAACUUUCAACAACGGAUCUCUUGGCACCGGCAUCGAUGAAGAAAGCAGCAGAUCGGAAGACCUCACC